GACGUAGGGGGCGAGCGUUGUCCGGAUUUAUUGGGCGUAAAGCGUGCGUAGGCGGCUGCGCAAGUCGGGUGUGAAACCCCGGGGCUCAACCCCGGAACUGCAUCCGAUACUGCGUGGCUAGAGGUAGGUAGGGGAGAUCGGAAUUCCUGGUGUAGCGGUGAAAUGCGCAGAUAUCGGGAGGAACACCAAUGGCGAAGGCAGCUCGCUGGGACGGUACUGACGCUGAGACGCGAAAGCGUGGGGAGCAAACAGG
rnacentral:rRNA from 1 species